CCUACGGGCGGCAGCAUUUUGUAAUAUUGGACAAUGGGGGGAACCCUGAUCCAGCCAUGCCGCGUGUGUGAAGAAGGCCCUCGGGUUGUAAAGCACUUUCAGUGAGGAAGAACGCCUGGUGGUUAAUACCCAUCAGGAAAGACAUCACUCACAGAAGAAGCACCGGCUAACUCCGUGCCAGCAGCCGCGGUAAUACGGAGGGUGCGAGCGUUAAUCGGAAUUACUGGGCGUAAAGCGCGCGUAGGUGGCUUGAUAAGCCGGUUGUGAAAGCCCCGGGCUCAACCUGGGAACGGCAUCCGGAACUGUCAAGCUAGAGUGCAGGAGAGGAAGGUAGAAUUCCCGGUGUAGCGGUGAAAUGCGUAGAGAUCGGGAGGAAUACCAGUGGCGAAGGCGGCCUUCUGGACUGACACUGACACUGAGGUGCGAAAGCGUGGGUAGCAAACAGGAUUAGAUACCCCAGUAGUC
rnacentral:rRNA from 1 species